AGCAGCAUGGCUCAGUGGAAAGAGCUUGGGCUUGGAAGUCAAAGGUCAUGGGUUCAAAUUCCGGCGCAGCUG
rnacentral:tRNA from 1 species